rnacentral:rRNA from 1 species
GACGAACGCUGGCGGCGUGCCUAAUACAUGCAAGUAGAACGCAGUUGCGAACGGGUGAGUAACGCGUAGGUAACUGCCUCAUAGCGGGGGAUACCUAUUGAAAACGUUAGCUAAUACCGAAUAUUGUGAGAUGGACCUGCGUUGUAUUAGCUAGUUGGUGAGGUAAAGGCUCACCAAGGCGACGAUACUUAGCCGACCUGAGAGGGUGAGCAGCCACACUGGAACUGAGACACGGCCCAGACUCCUACGGGAGGCAGCAGGAGGGAAUCUUCGGCAAUUGGCGGAAGUCUGACCGAGCAACGCCGCGUGAGUGAAGAAGGUUUUCGGGUCGUAAAGCUCUGUUGUUAGAGAAGCGUUAACUAACCAGAAAGGGAGGGCUAACUACGUGCCAGCGGCCGGGUAAUAC